rnacentral:rRNA from 1 species
UACGUAGGGGGCAAGCGUUGUCCGGAAUCAUUGGGCGUAAAGAGCGUGUAGGCGGUUCGGUAAGUCGGCUGUGAAAGUCCAGGGCUCAACCCUGGGAUGCCGGUCGAUACUGCCGGACUAGAGUUCGGAAGAGGCGAGUGGAAUUCCCGGUGUAGCGGUGAAAUGCGCAGAUAUCGGGAGGAACACUUAUGGCGAAGGCAGCUCGCUGGGACGUUACUGACGCUGAGACGCGAAAGCGUGGGGAGCAAACAGG